AACCUAGCACACCUGCGGUGUGUACCUGCGGAGGGAUCAUUAAAAGAGAAUUGUUUCUUGAAUGGCUCUUAUGAGUCUGAUAGAAAACAACUUCCCAACCCUUGUCUACAUAAACCAAAAUUUUGUUGCUUCGGCGAAUUAUGGGGUCUUAUCAGCCUUAUAGUUGUUGACCUCUCGCCAGAAGAAUUUCAAAUAAACUCUUAUAACAAAACUGUCUGAUAAUACAUUUUGAGAUUGUAU
rnacentral:misc_RNA from 1 species